GAUGAACGCUGGCGGCGUGCCUAAUACAUGCAAGUCGAGCGAACGGACGAGAAGCUUGCUUCUCUGAUGUUAGCGGCGGACGGGUGAGUAACACGUGGAUAACCUACCUAUAAGACUGGGAUAACUUCGGGAAACCGGAGCUAAUACCGGAUGAUAUUUUGAACCGCAUGGUUCAAAAGUGAAAGACGGUCUUGCUGUCACUUAUAGAUGGAUCCGCGCUGCAUUAGCUAGUUGGUAAGGUAACGGCUUACCAAGGCAACGAUGCAUAGCCGACCUGAGAGGGUGAACGGCCACACUGGAACUGAGACACGGUCCAGACUCCUACGGGAGGCAGCAGUAGGGAAUCUUCCGCAAUGGGCGAAAGCCUGACGGAGCAACGCCGCGUGAGUGAUGAAGGUCUUCGGAUCGUAAAACUCUGUUAUUGGGGAAGAACGUAUGUGUAAGUAACUGUGCACAUCUUGACGGUACCUAAACAGAAAGCCACGGCUAACUACGUG
rnacentral:rRNA from 1 species